CACUGGACCGGGCCACACGCGGGGCAAGCGCGGGCGUGUCUGCUCCGACGCUUGUCCCGGGGGAGCGGGAGGAUCAGAGCGCCGGCGCCGCGGUGCAGGCUGCGGGCAGCCGCGUCUGCGGGAGCGGGGCCGAGACAAGCGUCUGCCCGCCGCGCGGGGGAGACCGAAGCCCAGUGUUUACUAGCAGGCUAAAUGGGAUGCUCCUCUGUCCUUUGAGAUGCUUGUGCAGCUCCUGAAGCCGGGAGAGUCUCCCCAGGGCCUGAGAGCCACCUCUGAAACGUUGUCAUCAGGAAGGACGGGGCCAUGGCCCCCAGCGGGCCUAACAGCACUCACACUGACCGCAGCUUUGCCCCCAGCCUCCCCUGAAAGCAUCAGUCACCUCUGGGUACACAGAGUGGCCCUCAGCUGGCCCCUACUGCAGUCGGCACUGAAUAAAAUCGUUUUCGCUACUUUAA